rnacentral:rRNA from 1 species
CCUACGGGUGGCUGCAGUGGGGAAUAUUGGACAAUGGGGGCAACCCUGAUCCAGCCAUGCCGCGUGUGUGAAGAAGGCCCUCGGGUUGUAAAGCACUUUCAGUGAGGAAGAACGCCUGGUGGUUAAUACCCAUCAGGAAAGACAUCACUCACAGAAGAAGCACCGGCUAACUCCGUGCCAGCAGCCGCGGUAAUACGGAGGGUGCGAGCGUUAAUCGGAAUUACUGGGCGUAAAGCGCGCGUAGGUGGCUUGAUAAGCCGGUUGUGAAAGCCCCGGGCUCAACCUGGGAACGGCAUCCGGAACUGUCAAGCUAGAGUGCAGGAGAGGAAGGUAGAAUUCCCGGUGUAGCGGUGAAAUGCGUAGAGAUCGGGAGGAAUACCAGUGGCGAAGGCGGCCUUCUGGACUGACACUGACACUGAGGUGCGAAAGCGUGGGUAGCAAACAGGAUCAGAUACCCUAGUAGUC